rnacentral:rRNA from 1 species
GGGUUGUGAGGUUAAGCGACUAAGCGUACACGGUGGAUGCCCUGGCAGUCAGAGGCGAUGAAGGACGUGCUAAUCUGCGAUAAGCGUCGGUGAGGUGAUAUGAACCGUUAUAACCGGCGAUUUCCGAAUGGGGAAACCCAGUGUGUUUCGACACACUAUCAUUAACUGAAUCCAUAGGUUAAUGAGGCGAACCGGGGGAACUGAAACAUCUAAGUACCCCGAGGAAAAGAAAUCAACCGAGAUUCCCCAGUAGCGGCGAGCGAACGGGGAGGAGCCCAGAGCCUGAAUCAGUGUGUGUGUUAGUGGAAGCGUCUGGAAAGGCGCGCGAUACAGGGUGACAGCCCCGUACACAAAAAUGCACAUGCUGUGAGCUCGAUGAGUAGGGCGGGACACGUGGUAUCCUGUCUGAAUAUGGGGGGACCAUCCUCCAAGGCUAAAUACUCCUGACUGACCGAUAGUGAACCAGUACCGUGAGGGAAAGGCGAAAAGAACCCCGGCGAGGGGAGUGAAAAAGAACCUGAAACCGUGUACGUACAAGCAGUGGGAGCCUCUUAAUGGGGUGACUGCGUACCUUUUGUAUAAUGGGUCAGCGACUUAUAUUCUGUAGCAAGGUUAACCGAAUAGGGGAGCCGAAGGGAAACCGAGUCUUAACUGGGCGUUAAGUUGCAGGGUAUAGACCCGAAACCCGGUGAUCUAGCCAUGGGCAGGUUGAAGGUUGGGUAACACUAACUGGAGGACCGAACCGACUAAUGUUGAAAAAUUAGCGGAUGACUUGUGGCUGGGGGUGAAAGGCCAAUCAAACCGGGAGAUAGCUGGUUCUCCCCGAAAGCUAUUUAGGUAGCGCCUCGUGAAUUCAUCUCCGGGGGUAGAGCACUGUUUCGGCAAGGGGGUCAUCCCGACUUACCAACCCGAUGCAAACUGCGAAUACCGGAGAAUGUUAUCACGGGAGACACACGGCGGGUGCUAACGUCCGUCGUGAAGAGGGAAACAACCCAGACCGCCAGCUAAGGUCCCAAAGUCAUGGUUAAGUGGGAAACGAUGUGGGAAGGCCCAGACAGCCAGGAUGUUGGCUUAGAAGCAGCCAUCAUUUAAAGAAAGCGUAAUAGCUCACUGGUCGAGUCGGCCUGCGCGGAAGAUGUAACGGGGCUAAACCAUGCACCGAAGCUGCGGCAGCGACACUAUGUGUUGUUGGGUAGGGGAGCGUUCUGUAAGCCUGUGAAGGUGGCCUGUGAGGGUUGCUGGAGGUAUCAGAAGUGCGAAUGCUGACAUAAGUAACGAUAAAGCGGGUGAAAAGCCCGCUCGCCGGAAGACCAAGGGUUCCUGUCCAACGUUAAUCGGGGCAGGGUGAGUCGACCCCUAAGGCGAGGCCGAAAGGCGUAGUCGAUGGGAAACAGGUUAAUAUUCCUGUACUUGGUGUUACUGCGAAGGGGGGACGGAGAAGGCUAUGUUGGCCGGGCGACGGUUGUCCCGGUUUAAGCGUGUAGGCUGGUUUUCCAGGCAAAUCCGGAAAACCAAGGCUGAGGCGUGAUGACGAGGCACUACGGUGCUGAAGUGACAAAUGCCCUGCUUCCAGGAAAAGCCUCUAAGCAUCAGGUAACAUCAAAUCGUACCCCAAACCGACACAGGUGGUCAGGUAGAGAAUACCAAGGCGCUUGAGAGAACUCGGGUGAAGGAACUAGGCAAAAUGGUGCCGUAACUUCGGGAGAAGGCACGCUGAUAUGUAGGUGAAGCGACUUGCUCGUGGAGCUGAAAUCAGUCGAAGAUACCAGCUGGCUGCAACUGUUUAUUAAAAACACAGCACUGUGCAAACACGAAAGUGGACGUAUACGGUGUGACGCCUGCCCGGUGCCGGAAGGUUAAUUGAUGGGGUUAGCGGUAACGCGAAGCUCUUGAUCGAAGCCCCGGUAAACGGCGGCCGUAACUAUAACGGUCCUAAGGUAGCGAAAUUCCUUGUCGGGUAAGUUCCGACCUGCACGAAUGGCGUAAUGAUGGCCAGGCUGUCUCCACCCGAGACUCAGUGAAAUUGAACUCGCUGUGAAGAUGCAGUGUACCCGCGGCAAGACGGAAAGACCCCGUGAACCUUUACUAUAGCUUGACACUGAACAUUGAGCCUUGAUGUGUAGGAUAGGUGGGAGGCUUUGAAGUGUGGACGCCAGUCUGCAUGGAGCCGACCUUGAAAUACCACCCUUUAAUGUUUGAUGUUCUAACGUUGGCCCCUAAUCGGGGUUGCGGACAGUGUCUGGUGGGUAGUUUGACUGGGGCGGUCUCCUCCUAAAGAGUAACGGAGGAGCACGAAGGUUGGCUAAUCCUGGUCGGACAUCAGGAGGUUAGUGCAAUGGCAUAAGCCAGCUUGACUGCGAGCGUGACGGCGCGAGCAGGUGCGAAAGCAGGUCAUAGUGAUCCGGUGGUUCUGAAUGGAAGGGCCAUCGCUCAACGGAUAAAAGGUACUCCGGGGAUAACAGGCUGAUACCGCCCAAGAGUUCAUAUCGACGGCGGUGUUUGGCACCUCGAUGUCGGCUCAUCACAUCCUGGGGCUGAAGUAGGUCCCAAGGGUAUGGCUGUUCGCCAUUUAAAGUGGUACGCGAGCUGGGUUUAGAACGUCGUGAGACAGUUCGGUCCCUAUCUGCCGUGGGCGCUGGAGAACUGAGGGGGGCUGCUCCUAGUACGAGAGGACCGGAGUGGACGCAUCACUGGUGUUCGGGUUGUCAUGCCAAUGGCACUGCCCGGUAGCUAAAUGCGGAAGAGAUAAGUGCUGAAAGCAUCUAAGCACGAAACUUGCCCCGAGAUGAGUUCUCCCUGAGACUUAGAGUCUCCUGAAGGAACGUUGAAGACGACGACGUUGAUAGGCCGGGUGUGUAAGCGCAGCGAUGCGUUGAGCUAACCGGUACUAAUGAACCGUGAGGCUUAACCUUACAACGCCGAAG